rnacentral:lncRNA from 1 species
CAUUAUAUGUGUUUUGGGAUUGCUUUUCAAAUAAUUGACAUAAUAUGAUGCAUUAUAAUUUUGUUCGUCUCCUCUCUGAUUAUCUUCAGUCUCUCUUCCAGGUAGAGCAUUCCCAAGAAAGCCGAUUUUCUGCAAAUGAGCAAGAAAGUAUUGAAGGAAGAAACUAGGACUGUUUUCAAAAUAAUGUUUUCAAAAUAUAGCUUUGUUGGCUUAAUGGCUUCUCAUUGUCUUCCUGUGGUCCCCCUUACAGAAAAAUAUAGUUAAGGGAAAUAAAUAAACAAAUCAAAAUGAGCCUUGAGAAUGAGCUAUCAUAACUUAUUCUGCUUACGGAAAAAUAUUGAUAAUGGAAAUAUAAACCAAUUAAAAUGAGCCUUGAGAUUGAGCUAUCAUAACCUAUUCUGUUUACCCCGUCAAACCCAAUUCUAUUAUCUUAUGCACUGUUGCAGGUUUGUCUUAAUUUUUUUAUAUUAUAAUCCAUUGUAGAAUACAAUUUUAGUCAUUAGCCUAAUGUUUGACAAUUCUUUAUUAUCAGGAGUAAAAUAUGUAAUCAUAGCCAACAAAUACAGGAAGACCGAGUUCUGUUGCAUUCAGUCUAACGUUGUUGAUCCCUAUUUGAGAGCAUCAUCCAGUCUUGAAGGUGAGAA